GACGAACGCUGGCGGCGUGCCUAAUACAUGCAAGUCGAACGCAGUGGGGACGGGUGAGUAACACGUGGGUAACCUCCCCAUCAGAGGGGAUAACACUUGGAAACAGGUGCUAAACCGAUACUGAUGGAUGGACCCGCGGGGCAUUAGCUAGUUGGUGAGGUAACGGCUCACCAAGGCAACGAUGCAUAGCCGACCUGAGAGGGUGGUGGGCCACACGGGUAGAGAGACACGGCCAAGACUCUUACGGGAGGCAGCAGUAGGAAAUCUUCGGAAAGGGACGAAAGUCUGACCGAGCAACGCCGCGUGAGUGAAGAAGGUUUUCGGAUCGUAAAACUCUGUUGUUAGAGAAGCGGUAUCUAACCAGAAAGCCACGGCUAACUACGUGCCAGCAGCCGCGGUAAUAC
rnacentral:rRNA from 1 species